AACGAACGCUGGCGGCAUGCCUAACACAUGCAAGUCGAACGAAGUCUUCGGACUUAGUGGCGCACGGGUGCGUAACGCGUGGGAAUCUGCCCUUGGGUACGGAAUAACUCAGAGAAAUUUGUGCUAAUACCAUAUAAUGUCUUCGGACCAAAGAUUUAUCGCCCAAGGAUGAGCCCGCGUAAGAUUAGCUAGUUGGUGGGGUAAAAGCCUACCAAGGCGACGAUCUUUAGCUGGUCUGAGAGGAUGAUCAGCCACACUGGGACUGAGACACGGCCCAGACUCCUACGGGAGGCAGCAGUGGGGAAUAUUGGACAAUGGGCGAAAGCCUGAUCCAGCAAUGCCGCGUGAGUGAUGAAGGCCUUAGGGUUGUAAAGCUCUUUUACCCGGGAUGAUAAUGACAGUACCGGGAGAAUAAGCUCCGGCUAACUCCGUGCCAGCCGCCGCGGUAACAC
rnacentral:rRNA from 1 species